rnacentral:rRNA from 1 species
AUACGUUGCCUCGGCGGAUCAGCCCGCGCCCCGUAAAACGGGACGGCCCGCCCGAGGACCCCUAAACUCUGUUUUUAGUGGAACUUCUGAGUAAAACAAACAAAUAAAUCAAAACUUUCAACAACGGAUCUCUUGGUUCUGGCAUCGAUGAAGAACGCAGCAAAAUGCGAUAAGUAAUGUGAAUUGCAGAAUUCAGUGAAUCAUCGAAUCUUUGAACGCACAUUGCGCCCGCCAGUAUUCUGGCGGGCAUGCCUGUUCGAGCGUCAUUUCAACCCUCAAGCUCAGCUUGGUGUUGGGACUCGCGGUAACCCGCGUUCCCCAAAUCGAUUGGCGGUCACGUCGAGCUUCCAUAGCGUAGUAAUCAUACACCUCGUUACUGGUAAUCGUCGCGGCCACGCCGUAAAACCCCAACUUCUGAAUGUUGACCUCGGAUCAGGUAGGAAUACCCGCUGAACUUAAGCAU